rnacentral:snRNA from 1 species
AUACCUUUCUCGGCAUUUUGGCUAAGAUCAAGUGUAGUAUCUGUUCUUAUCAGUUUAAUAUCUGAUACGUGAUCCAUUGGAUCACAAGAUAUUAAAUUUAUUUUUUAAGUGGGAGAGUCCAUCACCGUAGCUUGCUACUUGGGCUCUCGAUCGUUGCCCUGGUUUUGCACUAUUGCGUGGGCCCGGCGUACCGCAC